GUAGGGGGGGCGAGCGUUGUCCGGAUUUAUUGGGCGUAAAGAGCUCGUAGGCGGCUUGGCAAGUCGGCCGUGAAAGUCCGAGGCUCAACCUCGGAACGCCGGUCGAAACUGCCAUGGCUAGGGUCCGGUAGAGGAGAGUGGAAUUCCCGGUGUAGCGGUGAAAUGCGCAGAUAUCGGGAGGAACACCAGUAGCGAAGGCGGCUCUCUGGGCCGGUACCGACGCUGAGGAGCGAAAGCGUGGGGAGCAAACAGGAUUAGAUACCCUGGUAGUCCACGCCGUAAACGUUGGGCACUAGGUGUGGCGAGUUAUACCAACGCUUGCUGUGCCGUAGCUAACGCAUUAAGUGCCCCGCCUGGGGAGUACGGUCGCAAGGCUA
rnacentral:rRNA from 1 species